rnacentral:rRNA from 1 species
CUAGCAUAUCAAUAAGCGGAGGAAAAGAAACUAACAAGGAUUCCCUUAGUAACUGCGAGUGAAGUGGGAAGAGCUCAAAUUUGAAAUCUGGCAGUCUCCUUUUUUCUUCUUUGGCUGUCUGAAUUGUAACCUAGAGAAGUGUUACCUGUGCUGGACCGUGUAUAAGUCUCCUGGAAUGGAGUGUCAUAGAGGGUGAGAAUCCUGUGUUUGACAUGGACUCCCAGCGCGUUGUGGUGUGCUCUCAAAGAGUCGAGUUGUUUGGGAAUGCAGCUCUAAAUGGGUGGUAAACUCCAUCUAAAGCUAAAUAUGGGCGAGAGACCGAUAGUGAACAAGUACCGUGAGGGAAAGAUGAAAAGCACUUUGGAAAGAGAGUUAAAAAGUAUGUGAAAUUGUUGAAAGGGAAACGCUUGAGGUCAGCUGUGUCAGAUAGGGAUCAGCCUAGUUUGUUUGCUGGGUGAAUUUCCUAGACUGACAGGCCAACAUCAGUUUUGACUGCCAGAAAAGGGCGGAGGGAAUGUGGCACUUUCGAGUGUGUUAUAGCCUUGUGUCAGAUGUGGCAGUUGGGACUGAGGAUCGCAGCGCGCUUUGAGCUGGGUUCGACCACAUCGCGUCU